CAUUUUGAGCACAUUGGCUAUGGAGCACAUGAAAAACUCCAUAGUUAAGUGUGCUCAGGUGAGAGGUAGUACCAAGAUGGGUGAUCUUCUGGGAAGUCUCCAU
rnacentral:rRNA from 1 species